rnacentral:lncRNA from 1 species
CUUUGGAAAACCUUCCGAGUGAAAUGCUCACCGAUAUCCGUGCGCUUGCGGAUCAUUUCCUUAUUGCGUUACCAAAUAUCAACAAUGUCAAGAGCUCAGUAAAGUAUCCAACAUCAUCAGAAGCAAUGGCAUGAGCUCAGCAAAAUAACCAUCAUCAGCACACCCUCAGGCAAAAAUAUUCAUCAACAUCAUCAUGGCAGCCUCUGGCUCAGUCAAUCAAAGAAUCACACAAUCAACUACCGCAGGCUAUAGAAUCAGGGAGGGAGGAUAGGGGGAAAAGAUACAAAAAAACCACGUCAACAAGCCUCAACAGUAGCAAAAGGCCAGUAGCUCAUGAGAGGGUGCUCAGAUCUGCAAGAACACAAACAAGACAAUGGAGAUUAUCACACACAUGCUUCGAUUUGUAGUCCAAAAAUAAGAAAAUAAAAUAGGAAGGUGAGGAAGAUGGAUUCAUACCAAAAUAAUAGCCAAGAACACGGAUAUGGUGUCCCUGCAUCGAGAUCAGACACAAAUGUUACCUAGGGUUCACAAACCAAAAGAAACAAAAGGAGAAAAAUGGGGGGAAAGCUCACCUGAAUCAAGAACAGUCAAAUCCAUGAGACCUUCAACAAAUAUAGAGAGAGAGGCAUCAUCACAACAUGAAUCAAGAAAAUGUACAGAGGAUUAGAGGGAGAAGAGAAAGAAAACCAACCGGCGGCGGAGACAUUGA